rnacentral:rRNA from 1 species
GACGAACGCUGGCGGCGUGCUUAACACAUGCAAGUUGAACGGACAGGCCCUGCUUUUGUGGGGUGCUCGAUUGGCGAACGGGUGAGUAACACGUGAGUAACCUGCCCUUGCCUUUGGGAUAACUUCAGGAAACUGGGGCUAAUACCCGAUAGGAGCUCCUGCUCCAUGGUGGGGGGUGGACAGUUUCGGCGGUUGGGGAUGGACGCGCGGCUUAUCAGCUUGGUGGUGGGGUAGUGUCUUACCAAGGCUUUGACGGGUAGCCGGCCUGAGAGGGUGACCGGCCACAGUGGGACUGAGAUACGGCCCAGACUCCUACGGGAGGCAGCAGUGGGGAAUAUUGCACAAUGGGCGGAAGCCUGAUGCAGCAACGCCGCGUGCGGGAUGACGGCCUUCGGGUUGUAACCCGCUUUCGCCUGUGACGAAGCGUGAGUGACGGUAAUGUGUAAAGAAGCACCGGCUAACUACGUG